rnacentral:lncRNA from 1 species
GUUUUCGAAAACCCGCCUGACCAAUUUUAAGUGAACCGGACGGCCCACAGAUUUUCAUAUAAACUCAGAUAACCUGAAAAAUUUCCAAUUUCCAUCGUCUUCUACAGCUCUGCUAAACCAAAAAACUGAAAACCCUUCUGCCAUCUUCUACAGAUCCUUUCCCAUGAAUCUAAAUCUUCAGAUUCAAGUUGGAUUAAAUGAAAGAAGAACAUGUAAGUCUAGAAUUUAAGAUUUUUGUUGAUGAGUUUCAAAUUUGCACCAUUGAGAUAUAUGAAAAUAAGAUUUUUUGUGCAACUUUAAUUUCAAAUUUGGAGCUGUCUUAUGGGAGAAUGAUUUUAGCAUAAAUAGUCACCUGUUAGCUUCCCAUGGAAAAUAAGAGAUUCCCCUCAUUUUAAAUAACAAUUUGCCAUAUUACGGGUAAUGCGUAAAUUUAAAAAUUGCUGUUGAUGACUGCUUCAAUCUUUAGACGAUUGUAGUAACUUCGGACAAUGGUCCUUUAGUUUUCUUUCUUGAUGAAUUUUUAUUUCUUUAGGCUAAUAAUGGGUACCGUGUUGUUUUAUGGAUGGGUAAUGUAUAAAUGAAAAUAUGAUGUUCUUGAUGAUGAAUUUGUUUUUAUAGGUGAAUGCUUUAACUUGGAAUGCAUAAGUUCACGAUGGUUAUUUGAUUUCUUGCUUGAUGAGUGUUUUGUAUAUGGGUUCUUACUGGAUUCUUGUUGAACGUUGACAUGUUGUUUUUGGUCACUACUCACUAGUUGUUGAUUUUGAUGUUGCAAAUGGAUUUUUCAUAAUAUGUGAUCUAGUGUUUGUUGAAUUUUUUCACAAGGUUGUUCUUUAGGCACCAAAAUAACAUAAAUUAAUUUAGUUGGUAGUAGAAAAUGUCGGAAUUUAUCAUAAAAUAGAAAUAGUUCAUAUAUAUAUUUGAUGAGAAUUGACCCACCGGUCGAACCACCGGGUCGCUAUUUGAACCACUGACCCACGGACCCAUUGCAUUGUCCGAGUUGGUGUCCGGGUUGGAUCUGAUAACUAUGAUAUUACAUGAUUGAACGGGGAGUAUUGAAUUACACUCAACAUUAUUAAAGAAAAAAGAAGUUAAAAUCUUAUUAUUCAAGUGUUCAAUCCUGUCCAAUAGUGUAAUCCAAACUUGCAAUUUUAAUAUUUUUUUGAAGCAUAGUGUCCCAAGUCGAAAUGGCAACAUAAGCUCUUCAUUUAUUUACUCUCAUUGAUAUUUCUUGUAGCCCAAUGUAAUAUGCUUGAGUUUCUAACAUUCUUGCAGUUUAAUGAGCUUUAACUUUUAAUGAAUGAUAGUAUUUUGUCAACAGAUCCUUGAAAAGCUCUAUGACCCAAACCACAUUGUCAUCGGAAACGAAUUGAUUAAACUAAUAUCCGUUCAGCUAUCCAUGGGUCACGACAUUGCUGCAGAUGACCUGGAUCGAUUGGCUGCAAUAUUUUCCCGAUAUUAUGGAUCACAUGCAGAGAUCAUAUUUCCACAUUUGCAGUACCUUAAACAGAGAAACCUACAAACUUCUUGACCAAAAGUAGCCAGCCAUUCUUAUGUUGUGCUGGAUCAGUAAGCAACAUGGCUCUACCCCUCCAUGAAUAUUGUCAAUGCUGUGUGUGUUUUGCAUUUGUUAUGCCAAUCGUUCUGUCUGUCGAACCCACCAACCAACCCCCGCAUCCCCAUCAAAGAAUACUGUUGAAAUCUCGUUCCCGUUAUAUAAUGGUUAUUUUUUACUUUUGGUUCGAUCUCCGUUGAUGUUAGUAUGCAAAUGGGUGUUUCGUCUCCUUACGGUUAAAUAGAGUGGGUUUCCAAUCAUGCUUUGUAAAUUAUGGUUGAUAGAACAUCUUCAAGAGACUCUAAUUAUAAAAAAAUAUUUUAUGCAUAAUUAUAGAGAACAUUUUUAAAUUUGG